rnacentral:rRNA from 1 species
CCGAAGCCUACGCGCCAAGCAUCCCGCCUGGGGACUACGGCCGCAAGGCCUUAACCUUAACGAACUUGACGGGGGCCCGCACAAGCAGCGGAGCGCUCGGCUUAACCUCGACGCUACACGAAGAACCCUACCUGGGCCUGACACGCUGCUGCUAGUGAAGCGAAAGCGGAACGACCUUUCGGGGAGCCUACACAGCUGCCGCACGGCCGCUGUCAGUCUCGUGCCGCUGAGGCGUCGGGCCUAAGUCCCGCUACGAACGCAACCACUGCCCUUAGCUACACUCGCCCUAGGGGACUGCCCGGGACAACUGGGAGCCCGCUGGGGACGACGCUAAGCUAGCACGGCCUCUAUCUCCAGGGCGACACACACGCUACAACGGCCGGUACAACGGGCUGCCAAGCCGCGAGGCGGAGCCAACUCCCCAAAGCCGCUCUAAGUCUGGACUGCGGGCUCAACCUGCCCACACGAAGCCGGAGCUGCUAGUACCGCGCGCUAGCAACUGCUCCCUGAUACGCUCCCGGGCCCUGACACACCGCCCG